rnacentral:lncRNA from 1 species
AGCUGCGCAGGGCAUGCAAUGCGUAGGUUAGAUAACUGGUAGACCAUUAGGGUUACAGAAUGGGUGCCAAGUGAAGGGAAGCGCAGUCGGGGUCGGCAGAAGAUCAGGUGGAGUGAUGAAAUUAAGAAAUUCGGAUGCGGUACUUGGAAUAGGUUGGCGCCGUACAGGGGCAAUUGGAGAUCGCAAGUAGAGGCCUUCGUCCUGCAGUGAACAUAAAAUAGGCUGCUGCGGCUGCUGCUGAUGAUGAUGAUGAUCAUCAUCAUCAUGAAGCCGCUCUUUGGCCAAUACUGGCCCUUCCACCAUAAAACACUACACAUCAUCACUGAGCCCUCUGCUGCACGGGAGAGCUUGGAACCUUAGUCGUCUGAACCGCCCAGGUACACGGUGUCACCCAUUGCAAACGUUUUGUAACGCUUCGGGUAGUGAGAAAGUCUAGCUGUGCCAUAGCUUCGUCAACAAUAUUUGCGAUAUUUUCAGGUCUCGCAGACACAUGGACAUAGACUAUAUCGAGAUGCUUUCUUUGAAUUACCGACGACAACAAAGAGGAUAAUUAACAUAUAUGCAUACCUGGGGACUGGACAGGUAGACAAUAAGAUAUCUGGAUGGUACAAAGUUUUGUACGCUAACAAAGUUUGUUUUAUUUUGGCAACCGAAGAACAAGCAAUGCCAGCGUGUUUGCUUUGGCGAAAAGUACGAGCGACACGAUUGGAACGUGUUCCGUGCAGGCAAGCAUACAAAGAGAGGUGUAGACACUAUAAAGGACAUAGUCAUGUGUACAGCAAAAAAGAAUGUAUCACUAAAAACAAUUGGUAGGCCUGCUUGUUGCUCAUUCAUACAAACCAUCUUUGCGGUAGAUUGCCACAGCUAGCAAUCAACGUUUUUCCGCUCGAGAAAUACUAAAAUCACAAGGACAACCUUUUCAGACAAUUUGUCUGCAAUCACGUGCUUUGCUUCCUAUAUACAGGAAUUGCCGCAUAUUGUUUUCAUUGCAAUGAUGUAGCUAAUAAAUAAGUAAUAAUGAAA